rnacentral:rRNA from 1 species
AACGUAGGUGGCGAGCGUUAUCCGGAUUUACUGGGCGUAAAGGGUGUGCAGGCUGCCCCUCAAGUGGUGUAUGAAAGGGCUCGGCUCAACCGGGCUAGGUUAUGCCAGACUGAGGGGCUAGAGAGCGAGAGCGGGACGUGGAAUUCCGGGUGUAGUGGUGAAAUGCGUAGAGAUCCGGAAGAACACCGGUGGCGAAGGCGGGUCUCUGGGCCGAUACUGACGCUGAGGAGCGAAAGCGUGGGGAGCGAACAGG